rnacentral:rRNA from 1 species
AGAGUUUGAUCCUGGCUCAGGACGAACGCUGGCGGCGCGCCUAACACAUGCAAGUCGAACGGAGCUUAGAGAGCUUGCUUUUUAAGCUUAGUGGCGAACGGGUGAGUAACGCGUGAGUAACCUGCCCUAGAGUGGGGGACAACAGUUGGAAACGACUGCUAAUACCGCAUAAGCCCACGGUGCCGCAUGACACUGAGGGAAAAGGAUUUAUUCGCUUUAGGAUGGACUCGCGUCCAAUUAGCUAGUUGGUGAGGUAACGGCCCACCAAGGCGACGAUUGGUAGCCGGACUGAGAGGUUGAACGGCCACAUUGGGACUGAGACACGGCCCAGACUCCUACGGGAGGCAGCAGUGGGGGAUAUUGCACAAUGGGGGAAACCCUGAUGCAGCGACGCCGCGUGGAGGAAGAAGGUCUUCGGAUUGUAAACUCCUGUUGUUGAGGAAGAUAAUGACGGUACUCAACAAGGAAGUGACGGCUAACUACGUGCCAGCAGCCGCGGUAAAACGUAGGUCACAAGCGUUGUCCGGAAUUACUGGGUGUAAAGGGAGCGCAGGCGGGAAGACAAGUUGGAAGUGAAAUCCAUGGGCUCAACCCAUGAACUGCUUUCAAAACUGUUUUUCUUGAGUAGUGCAGAGGUAGGCGGAAUUCCCGGUGUAGCGGUGGAAUGCGUAGAUAUCGGGAGGAACACCAGUGGCGAAGGCGGCCUACUGGGCACCAACUGACGCUGAGGCUCGAAAGUGUGGGUAGCAAACAGGAUUAGAUACCCUGGUAGUCCACACCGUAAACGAUGAUUACUAGGUGUUGGAGGAUUGACCCCUUCAGUGCCGCAGUUAACACAAUAAGUAAUCCACCUGGGGAGUACGACCGCAAGGUUGAAACUCAAAGGAAU